UGUCGAGUUUGACUCUGGCUCAGGUUGAACGCUAGCUGUAUGCUUAACACAUGCAAGUCGAACGCUCCUUCGGGAGAGUGGCGAACGGGUGCGUAACACGUGAGAUUCUACUCUUUGGAAGAGAAUACCUCUCAGAAAUGGGAGUUAAUGCUCUAUAUGCCGAGAGGUGAAAGGGGUAACCCGCCAAAGAAUGAGUUUGCGUCUGAUUAGCUUGUUGGUGGGGUAAAGGCCUACCAAGGCAACGAUCAGUAGCUGGUUUGAGAGAAUGAUCAGCCACACUGGAACUGAGACACGGUCCAGACCACUACGGUGGGCAGCAGUGAGGAAUUUUCCGCAAUGGGCGAAAGCCUGACGGAGCAAUACAGCGUGGAGGAUGAAGGUUCGUGGAUCGUAAACUCCUUUACCUAGAGAAGAAUACAUUGACGGUAUCUAGGCAAAAAGCGACGGCUAACUCCGUGCCAGCAGCCGCGGUAAUACGGGGGUCGCAAGCGUUAUCCGAAAUUAUUGGGCGUAAAGAGCCUGUAGGUGGUUUAAAAAGUCCAGUGUUAAAUCGUACAGCUCAACUGUAUACCAGCACUGGAAACUUUUAGACUUGAGUAUGGGAGAGGUAGAGGGAAUUCUUAGUGGAGCGGUGGAAUGCGUAGAUAUUAAGAAGAACACCGAUGGCGAAAGCACUCUACUGGCCCAUAACUGACACUCAGAGGCGAAAGCUAGAGGAGCGAAAAGGAUUAGAUACCCUUGUAGUUCUAGCCGUAAAUGAUGGAAACUAGGUGGUGGGGAUUCCCUUCUUUCAUUGCCGUAGUUAACGCGUUAAGUUUCCCGCCUGGGAAGUACGCUCGCAAGGGUGAAACUCAAAGAGAUUGACGGGGACCCGCACAAGUGGAGGAGUAUGCGGUUUAAUUCGAUGCAACGCGAAGAACCUUACCAAGGAUUGACAUGGUAUGAAGCCUUGUGAAAGCGAGGUGUGCCUCUUUGAGGAACAUACACACAGGUGGUGCAUGGCUGUCGUCAGCUCGUGCAGUAAUGUGUUGGGUUAAGUCCCGCAACGAGCGAAACCCUUGUAUCUAGUUAUCAAUCUAGAUAGACUGCCGAUGUUAAAUCGGAGGAAGGAGAGGAUGACGUCAAGUCAGCAUGCCCCUUACAUCUUGGGCUACACGCGUACUACAAUGGGCAAGACAAAGAGAUGCAACUUCGCGAGAAGAAGCCAACCUCAAAAACUUGUUCUCAGUUCGGAUUGUAGAUUGCAACUCAUCUACAUGAAGCCGGAUUCACUAGUAAUCGCUGGUCAGCAUACAGCGGUGAAUACGUUCUCGGGUCUUGUACACACCGCCCGUCACACCCUGGGAGUUAGUUUUGUCCGAAGUCGUUACUCUAACCGUAAGGAAGUGGACGCCGAAGUCAGAGCUGGCGACCUGGGUGAAGUCGUAACAAGGUAACCGUACUGGAAGGUGCGGUUAGAAUACCUCCUU
rnacentral:rRNA from 1 species